AUCUAACUUAGACCGACCUGUGCAUUUUCUCACUUUAGAGAAGCAAACACCUGCCCUCUAUCACGAACACGAAGGUUUUCGUUCGUACAAUUUGAGACUUAAGUAUGAUGGAAAUUUCGAAGCAUUCAAAGCAGCACUUCACCCCUGGCCUACCUAUGUUAUUGAACCUGUGUUGUUGUCGCCACACCCAUGGGCGUUUUCCACUCAUCCUAUAAGAGCAUCACUUACGCCAUCUGAUCCACCGCGGUCCUUAAAUGAGAAGAUAACAUAUGCACUUUCGGAAGUGUUAACAAACAAGGAGCCUGUACUAAGUAACUUCUGGUAUCUUGUGCCACUGCCAGCGGAUGGGCUAGUCUCCGUACGCGACCAACCAUUUGCGGAGGUCGCCUAACCAAGAAGUUGGCUGAGGAAAGGAGUUUGAAUGAAUGGACUGCUGCUUAUAAGCUGGAAUUAGGAUAUCACAGGGUUACAUUAGAGGAGAGAGCCACAAAGCCAUACACGAACUAUUUCAUGUCAUCUGAGACUGAAAAUAGCGUGAAGUCUCUGUUGCCACAUGUGGCUGAAAGUGAUGGAUCUGGUAGUAUGCAUGCUCGAGUAUGGCUUCCGAUUUGUAGUUUAAGUGGUAGAGAUCGUUGCUUUGGUGUGCUUGAGGUGAAUAGCAACGCUAGGAAUGCAAAGUCCAAGGGUAUAGAGUUUUCUGAUGCUAAGGAAAGUGAUUUGGGUUUGAUCGUCCAAAGUCUUAGAGGAUUCUCAUCCAAACCAUCAAAAUAUGUGAGGGGUAGUUUUAUAUUAUAAAGGGUAUAAAAAAUGGUUGUGAGUGGAGGAGAGAGAAAAUAUUACUGUUCAUCUGUAUAUUUCGGGGGAACACUGUUCACUCAGUAUAAUUUUUUUAAUAUAUAUUGAAAGUGGAUGCGAGUGAAGGAGAGAGAAAAAUGUAAUGAUAAUAUUAUUUAAUUGAAAAGGAGAGAGAAAAAGUUUUUGUUUUUAGUGAAAAUAUAUUGAUAUAGGAGUUGUUUUUUAGUGGAAUGUAUGUAUAAUUUGAUGGAUUGGAUGAGAAUGCUAUUGUCUAGCUGAGGGUAUGCUUUUCCUGUACCUUUAUUUAAAAAAACUAUAAAAAGGUAUUUGACCUAACAAUAUUUAUUACUUUGCAGUCUGUAGGGUUGGAUUUCAUCGGUCCUUUGGAUAUUAUAAACACGACACCCUCGGAGAUAAUCACUGCUGCUACUGCUAACAACAUUAUUGUACCGGCAAUCAAAUUCGUGUGCGAACAACACGGUAUUUGUUCAUCGCAUGUGUGGGUUUGUGGCGUGGAUCAUAGUUAUGAGUUCUUACGCAACGUUGCAAUCAAGUGGCUAGAAUACCAUAACGUUGGGACACCGUAUAGUACCUAUUGUGACUUGUGUUCGGUGUUCCCGAAUGGAGGUCUGGGUAUGUACUGAGGACGCUCAUAAAUUGCAAAACACGCCUAAUAACAAGACUGAAUUCUGGCAUGAUGGCCGCCUUAGGAUCUCCAAUUGUAGAAACCGAUGGCUUGGGGGUUUUAGCAAUUUGUAUACAGGUCAACAGUGUUAAUGUUGCCAUCGAAUUUUUGGGUGUUAAAACUUCAGCAGGCAUAAGGCAUUUGGAGCAUAGUCACAUAAUUCGCUGGUCAUGGCGCAAUUUUCUUUUUGGUUCGUCCGAUCCAAUUCGCGGUACGAACAUGAUCCGGGUUCGCUUGGGAUCGCGUUUCCGUCAACCGUAAUGGCGUUCCGAAAAAACAAUUCAAAUGUAAUAGAGAAGAAAUGGUGGCUAAUUGAAGCUUACCUGCUGAUUGAACCUUACCUUCCCUGCUGGCUGAAACGUAGAAUGAAAGAUCUGUCGGUUGUUUUUUAGGUUUAGAAGAUGGAACGAACAGGGAAGAUAGACCAAGAGGACGACUGCUUUAGUUGUACGGGUUUAAGUAUCUCCAUGACUUUGUUUGAGACGCGUAAAUGGAUAUUCUCAAAUAAGCAGAGAUCUCGGCAAAGAAAGAGGCACCAACGGGAAACAUGCUUGUGUUGAUCUCACAGGUGGGUUCCGGGAAAACGGGUUUGUGGUGGGGCAAGCGGCACUGAAAGCAGAGUCAAAGAAGGUGGAAAAGCAUGUGAAAGCUUGUGAGGAUAAUCAACAUGGCUUUGUCCCCCUGGUGUUUGACACGUUCGGCAACUUGGCGCCGGAGGCAGUUCGGUUCUUGGCUAGAGUUAGCGUGUGAUCCACAGCAACUUUUCGACCCCUAGGGGCGAGGCUUUGUUUUUAGUAGAUUAUGGUUUUCUAUUCAGAAGGGGAUGACGGAGCAGUUUGUUGUCUGUCUACCUGCUAUCCUUAUGGGUCUGUUUGGUAUGGCGUAAUGGAAUAGAUGAGGGAAUGGAAUGGACAAAGGAAUGAAAUGGAUCAUUACAUUCCAUAGUCUUGUUUGGUUACAAUACAGGAAAAGAAUAAAUCAUUACCUUGUGUUGGUUGGUAGGUAAGAACAGAGGAAUGAAUUAAAUCGGCGAUGGGUGGUGGCGGUGAUCGGUGGCAGCGAUGGGUGGCGGUGGUCGGUGUUAGCGGUGGUGGGUGGCGGUGGUCAGUGGGUGACGGUUGUUAGCGGUGGUGUCGGCGAUGGUCGGGGUUGGCAGUGGUCUGCGGUGGCAGCGAUGGUGGUGGCGACGACGGUGGUGGUGGUGGUGGUCGACGGUAGCGGGUGGUGGCCGCAGAGGAUGGUGGUGGUGGUCGGCGGAGUGUGGCGGUGGUGGUCGUGGUGGCGGGUGGCAGCGAUGGUAGUCGACGGCAGUGGCGGCGGGCGGCGGUGGCGACAGAGGACGAUGGUGGUGGCAGAUGAUGGAGGUGAUGGACAGUGUUUGUGACGUAGGCUGAGAGAGGGAAUGAAAUGGAAAAAAAACAGGGGGAGUGCAUGGAAUGAAUUUGAGGUAAUGGGUGAUUGCAUUAUGUUGACUAACCAAACACACUUUUUUCCAUUCCCUCGCAAUAGUUCAUUCCAUUCCACCUCUCAUUCCUGCAUACCAAACACUACCUAUGUAAUUUACCCUGUUGAUUGGAAUAAAAACCUAUUUCUGAUAAAAAAAUUAAUUUUAAUUUUA